AGCCAGACUCCUACGGGAGGCAGCAGUGAGGAAUAUUGGUCAAUGGUCGGGAGACUGAACCAGCCAAGCCGCGUGAGGGAUGAAGGUACAGAGUAUCGUAAACCUCUUUUGUCAGGGAACAAAGGCGGGGACGUGUCCCCGGAUGAGUGUACCUGAAGAAAAAGCAUCGGCUAACUCCGUGCCAGCAGCCGCGGUAAUACGGAGGAUGCGAGCGUUAUCCGGAUUUAUUGGGUUUAAAGGGUGCGCAGGCGGUCUGUUAUGUCCGGGGGAAAAGCGCGGGGCACAACCCCGGCCCGCCGUUGAAACUGGCAGUCUCGAGUUGGAGAGAAGUAUGCGGAAUGCGCGGUGUAGCGGUGAAAUGCAUAGAUAUCGCGCAGAACUCCGAUUGCGAAGGCAGCAUGCCGGCUCCACACUGACGCUGAGGCACGAAAGCGUGGGUAUCGAACAGGAUUAGAUACCCCAGUAC
rnacentral:rRNA from 1 species